rnacentral:rRNA from 1 species
AUGAGCCUGCGUAGGAUUAGCUGUUGGUGAGGUAAAGGCUCACCAAGGCGACGAUCCUUAGCUGGUCUGAGAGGAUGAUCAGCCACACUGGAACUGAGACACGGUCCAG